GUCCAUGCAUUGCAUAUUCCGGAGCCAUAUAUCCAAAUGUCCCAAUGACUCUAUCUGUUUUGUCUUGGCUUUGAUCAACACCAAAAAUCCUUGCCAUGCCAAAAUCUGAUAUUUUGGGGUUCAUUUCCUCAUCUAGCAGAACAUUAUUAGCUUUGAGAUCACGGUGUAUGACUUUAAGUCUAGAAUCCUCAUGAAGAUAUUGAAUCCCUCGAGCUAUUCCUUCAAUUAUCUUGUAACGUCUUGACCAAUCCAACUUUCUUUGUUUUUCAGAGUCAAAUAUAAAGUAGUCAAGGCUCUUGUUGGGGAAAAAUUCAUAAAUGAGUAUCUUCUCUUCCCCUUCAAAGCAAAAUCCUAAUAGCCUUACUAGAUUUCUGUGUUGAAGCUUAGCUAAAGUAGCAGCCUCAUUCUUAAAUUCCUUUGCACCCUGUCCGGAGCUUGUUAUUGAUAAUCUCUUCACAGCGAUCUCUUGUCCAUUGGGCAGUAUACCCUUAUAAACCUUUCCAUAUCCACCUUCACCUAACUUGUUAUCAGCACAGAAGUUGUUUGUUGCAGUUUCAAUGGUGGCCAAGUCCAAUUGCAGGGGCUGUGAGGUUGUAAUUUCAUUCCCACCGCUUUUAUCUGGCACUCCAGCAUACUUGAGGCUUCCCUUUCUGGUUCUAGUUAGAUAACAGUUGCCUAUGGCAAAAAGCAUCACAGAGACUACGAUUGGAAGAACGAUGGCAAUAAUAAUUACAGUUGAGACUUGCCUUUUGCCCUUCCGCCCUGGUGAAGGGGAUGGCAGAAGCAUCGAUGGCGGUGGAGCUACAGCCCUGUAAAAUGGGUAUAGC
rnacentral:misc_RNA from 1 species